CCUACGGGAGGCUGCAGUGGGGAAUAUUGCACAAUGGGGGAAACCCUGAUGCAGCGACGCCGCGUGAGCGAUGAAGUAUCUCGGUAUUGUAAGCUCCUUCAGCAGGGAAGUAAAUGACGGUACCUGUGUAAGAAUCUCCGGCUAAAUACGUUCAAGCAGCCGCGGCAAUACGUAUGGAGCAAGCGUUAUCCGGAUUUACUGGGCGUAAAGGGAGUGUAGGCGGCCUGCCAAGUCCGAUGUGAAAUACUUGGGCGCAACCCCGGGAGUGCAUUGGAAACUGGCAGGCUGGAGUGCCGGAGAGGCAGGCGGAAUUCGUGGUGUAGCGGUGAAAUGCGUAGAUAUUAGGAGGAACUCCGGUGGCGAAGGCAGCGUGCUGGACGGUGACUGACGCUGAGGCUCGAAAGCGUGGGGAGCAAACAGGAUUAGAUACCCGAGUAGUC
rnacentral:rRNA from 1 species